rnacentral:lncRNA from 1 species
GCCUUGAUAGUAGUUGGUAUUCAAACACUCUUUGCAAUCACACAGUUCGCUCUCCGAGAAAACUAUACAAUCAAGCAAACAUACACAUACAUAAACACACCAUACAACAAAAGAAUAUGUAUGCCAUGAUGCAAUGCAAAAACAUGUGAUAUGAGUGGAUGAUUUUUAUUCGGGUGAUCUGCUGGUCCAAGGCAUUGAUAAUUAAGCACAUGUAAUUAGGGUUUUAAACAAAUUGCAAUGGCUAGGGUUUAAACCCUAAAAUGAGGUUUUAUUUGCAUCUGCAAAACAAUUUAAAAUAUUUAUUUCUCUGUCCCAUUGGACAGAGGACAAUAAGACAAAACGGUUGGUUCUGGGCCGGUUCGGCCCAAGCGGUCGGACCGGUCCGGUUCUCCCCCUUUUUUUUUCUUUUAGCCUUUUCUUUUUCUGUUUUUCUCAUUUAUUUGAUAUCUUUUGAGUUUGAACUCCAAAUUGGUCCAAAUAAAUUCCAGAAAAUUUGUAAAAUCAUGUUCUACCAUGAUACAAGUUUUGGAAGUAGUUUCUCUUCAAAAUAAAAUAUACAAAAAUACAUUUGCCCUAUAAAUGCCUUUAGGGCCAUAUAACUAUUUAAAUAAAAUACCUUUUCAACUCCAAAUAAUUUUCCAAAAAUUAUGGGAUAGCUUAUAUAUGCAUUAAACCUCUUUUAUACAUAAAACCUAUUGGUUUGAAGAUCCAAAGUUCAAAUGGGUGUAAACCCUAAGGUUUAAAUUGAAAUAAAAACUUUUAAAGCCUUUUGAGAUUCAAAUUUGAAUUCAAAUAUGCA